rnacentral:rRNA from 1 species
GCAGAAUUGGGAUGGUUGAGUAUCUCGCCUCUCAGUUCUGCCUGUAUUCUACCCUUGUUUGUCAUAUACUAUUAUUUCCUCGGCAGGCUUGCUUGCCGAGUGAAACCAUUUAUAACCUUUUUAAUUUUCAAUCAGCGUCUGAAAAAAUUAAUAAUUACAACUUUCAACAACGGAUCUCUUGGUUCUGGCAUCGAUGAAGAACGCAGCGAAAUGCGAUAAGUAGUGUGAAUUGCAGAAUUCAGUGAAUCAUCGAAUCUUUGAACGCACAUUGCGCCCCUUGGUAUUCCAUGGGGCAUGCCUGUUCGAGCGUCAUUUGUACCUUCAAGCUUUGCUUGGUGUUGGGUGUUUGUCCCGAGGGACUCGCCUUAAAGUAAUUGGCAGCCAGUGUUUGGUUUUGAAGCGCAGCACAAGUCGCGAUUCAAGGCUACACGCCCGCUUCCACAAGCCUUUUUUCACUUUUGACCUCGGAUCAGGUAGGGAUACCCGCUGAACUUAAGCAUAUCAAUA